UUCAUGGAUUCAUCCAUUCAGUAAAAAAAAUUAUUACACACCAACCAUGUGUAGGGCAGCUUGCCAGCAGUGUAGCUACAGUGGUAAGCAAAACAGACUCAUACCUUCAUGGGGCUUACAGUUUGAUAAGGAAGCAAGUUGUUAAACAAAUGAUCAGACAAAUCAAAAGCUAUGAUAAGGAAUAAGGAGGCAAAGUACAAUGUGUUUAUGAGAGUGAAUGUCAGGAACUGAGAUGAGGUCUCAGGAAGCUUCCUGAAGAGUGCCCCUGCUUUGCUGGUGUCCUGAGUACACGUUUCUCUGCUUCUUGGGUAAUCUGACACGAUAACUGGCCAGAGGGAGUCAGCCAGGAUCACCCUGAAUAUUGCUAGAGACCUUUUGAUGGUUUGAAAUCACUCAUGCAAGAGACACCAAGUACCCAGGAUGUUUCAAGCACUGACCCAGGUCCUGAGGCUGCAACAGAUAAUUAAUUAAGGGUUCGGCAGACAGAGCAAGACCUGGCGGGGACAUUGAGUGCCCCGCUCCGGAGGAGUCUGAGUGGAUGGAGGCUUGGAGUGUGGAAGUGUAUGGCUUUCACAGAAAGAAAGCCAAGCCCUGGUGCUGGAUGACGAAGCAGUGAGAUGGGAGAUGGCGCUCAGGGAACUUGCAGGGGACUUGUCGUGGAGAGACUACAAUGUCUAGGAGAGGAGAAUAAAGGAACGAAAGCGGGAGGAGAGGCAGUGGGUUAGGGGUGAAAACUCCUGCUCCGCGUAACCUCCCUAGAAAGUGGCCAAGUGGGCAGAGGGCAGAGGCCCUGGCCAACCCCGCCAGCCCCCCAUGCCUCCUGAGCUCUGCUGAGCCCUGCAGCUCGUCUCCUCCUGGCUCCAGAAGUCAGACGAAACCCUGAAGGAGAGCCGAGGCGGAAAAAUGUUCCUGUACACGCACCCGGAGGCUUUUGCAGGAGGCGGCUGUUGGAGAACCAGGAAAACAAGCCAAGAAACAAGAGAGAGGAAAAAGACCACGCCUCGCUUGGCAGAUUCCUAAUGGCCCAGGAGACCUGAGGCUUUACAGUGGGAGGCCGGUGGGGGCUGGCUCGGGUGGGAGGGAAGGGCAGGCCGAAGGACAGCCACUUGCUGGCCAGUGACCUUGGGCGGGAUGCUGCCUGCUUCCCUCUGGUGAGAAUGGGGAGGAGGGGGCAGGGGCCAGGCUGGCCGGCUGAGGUCACAGGAAGGCCCCUUCCAGCCUGAAACGCGAUCUCGGGAUGUGGGGCCUGCCAACCUGCAGCGACCCUGGGCCAGCAGAGAUGAAAGGCUGCCUGUCCCCAGCUUCCGGACCCCCGAGGCCCCAGUGCCUCCAACUUGAAGGGCAGCAAAGCGGCUGCAGCUGGCUGAACCCGGUUACUGGGCUCCCCCCACCACCACCACCACCCUCCCCUGCCACCUGAUGUCCUUCAACCCUCCUUUCCCUGUUUUGCAGAGGACACUCGGGGCCCAGAGAGGGCUGGUGACCUGCCCGAGGUCACGCAGCAAGCUGGAGGCUGAGCCAGGACUCACCACAAAGUCUUUGGAUUCCAAGGCCAGGCCUCAUUCCCUUUCCUGGAAACUUGGCUGCCUGGGGGGCUUACCCUGGGGAGUUGGAGAGACCCAGGGUUAGGGAGGACAGUUGGGAGCUGUGUCUGUUUGAAGUCACAGCUUAAUGUUGAUUAAAGUGCCUUUAAAAAAAAAAAAAAAAAGACGAAAGGAACAUUCCCAGCCCCUGCCAUGAGCCUGGACUUGCUCUGCUGGCAGGGGAAGGAACGGUGGCCAGCUGCAGCCUCAGUUCCUGCCGCUCCCGCCCCAGCAGACAGAGGGACAAAGGCCUCUUCUCAGCCUGUCCCCUCCAGCCCCCUGGAUCAGAGCAACAACCAGGAGGCCCUGUCACUGACCAGCUAAGUCCCUGUUUCUCUCUAGGUCUUAGUGCCCUUUCUGGAAAAUGGGGGCAGAGUAUCUGCAUGACCUACUUCUCAGCACCAUUUUGAGGUUUCAAAGAGGGAGAGUUAACAGAAAUACAAACCUCUCAGCACCUCCUUCUGCCUGAGGGCCGGCCGCCUCUGAGACCCCUCUCCCCUCAGGCUUAAACUGGCCAGCCCCAGCCGCUCAUUGGGGACCAUCCCUCACUUUGGGGAGCCCUCCCUCACCUCCAGACUGUGCUGUUCCUUCAAGGUACAGUUAGUUUCCCAUUUUACAGAUGAGGAAACUGAGAAAAGAAGAGAUAGAGUAAUGUACCUGAAGUCACAGCAAGCUGGAAGCAGAGCCAGAACUCUGUGCAAGUAGCAGCAGAACGAGGAUUCAGAUGCAGAUCCCAGGCUGGAAUCAUUAAGCCACUAAUAAGGCCAGUUCAAUUUGUUCCUUGUCCAUCCUAGCUCCAGAAUACCUGGCAUACAGUAAGUGCUCCAUAUGUGUCGGGUGAACAAGGACAAAAGCAAGUGAUAAAUGCAUUCAGGUAUUUGGAGAAGACUAAGUGGUGUUGGAGAAGACUCUUGAGAGUCCCUUGGACUGCAAGAUCAAACCAGUCAAUCCUAAAGGAAAAUCAGUCCUGAAUAUUCACUGAAAGGACUAAUGCUGAAGCUGAAGCUCCAAUACUUUGACUACCUGACAUGAAGAGCUGACUCAGAAAAGACCCUGAAGCUGGGAAAGAUUGAAGGCAGGAGGAGAAGGGGACGACAGAGAACAAGAUGGUUGGAUGGCAUCACUGACUCAAUGGAUGAGUUUUUGCAAGCUCCGGGAGAUGGUUAAGGAUAGGGAAGCCUGACGUGCUGCAGUCCGUGGGGUCUCAAAGAGUCAGACAAGACUCAGCGACAGAACAACAAGAGCACCAUCCAGGGGUGAGUUUUGCAGGUGCCAUGUGUGGAGCGAAGCCCUGAUGAAGGGAGGCGGUACCCAAUGUAUUGUUAAAGACCUGUUAUUGAGCUUCUUUCUGGAAUAUAACAGGCCCCAAACCUGGGACAUCAUCUGUGAUGCCUCCUUCCACUUCAUCUGCCAGAGCCAUUCAGCCCCCAGGGUCUGCUUGCCAUCUCCCAGGGCACCCCAUCUUCUCCAUCCUUCAACCCCCAUCUUUUCCUUGAAUUUUUGUAGCAACUCUUACACAGGGUUCUCUGUCUCUAAUUUCUCCUCCUUCGAAGUGGGCCUCUAAAAACAUAAAGCUGGGGACUUCCCUGGUUGUCCAGUGGUUAGGGAUCUACCUGCCAAUACCGGGGACACAGAUUCCAUCCUUGGUCCGGGAAGAUCUCGCACACCAUGCAGUAACCAAGCCCAUGCACCACGGCUACUGAAGCGCUCACACCCUGGAGCCUGUGCUCUGCGACAAGAGAUGGCACCUCAGUGAGAAGCCCAUGAGCCACAAUGAAGACCCAGUGCAGCCAAAUAUAAAUAAAUAAAGUUUAAAAGUGGCAAUAAAUAAAAACAGAAAGCUAAUUGUGCGUCCCAUCCCUGUUUACUCCCUCCCUCACUAAUGAACCUUGCAUGGCUCCCCACUGCUCUCUGGAUAAAGCCUGCACUCCUCACCAAGACUUCUACCACCCAAACCUCUGCCU